rnacentral:ncRNA from 18 species
GCCCUUGUGGUAUGGUGGCGGUAUUGGAAACAACUGCAAACGCCGUGUAAGGCGUUAGGACACCUACGCCUCAAGGGCUU